rnacentral:misc_RNA from 1 species
UCCCCGUUACCGGGGCAGUCUGAUUAGAAAAAUACAACUAAUCAUAGGGGUUGCGCUCGUUAAAGGACUUAACCUAACAUCUCACGACACGAGCUGACGACGGCCAUGCAGCACCUGUCACUAGGCUCCCGAAGGCACUCUCGGCUUUCACCAAAAUUCCUAGGAUGUCAAACCUGGGUAAGGUUCUUCGCUUACCAUCGAAUUAAACAACACGCUCCACCGCUUGUGCGGGCCCCCGUCAAUUCCUUUGAGUUUCAGCCUUGCGGCCGUACUCCCCAGGCGGGGCACUUACUGCGUUAGCGACGGCACCGGGAGGGUCGCUCCCCCCGACGCCUAGUGCCCAUCGUUUACGGCGUGGACUAC